GAUGAACGCUGGCGGCGUGCUUAACACAUGCAAGUCGAACGGUGAAGCAGGAGCUUGCUCUUGUGGAUCAGUGGCGAACGGGUGAGUAACACGUGAGCAACCUGCCCCUGACUCUGGGAUAAGCGCUGGAAACGGCGUCUAAUACUGGAUAUGUGAUGUGACCGCAUGGUCUGCAUCUGGAAAGAAUUUCGGUUGGGGAUGGGCUCGCGGCCUAUCAGCUUGUUGGUGAGGUAAUGGCUCACCAAGGCGUCGACGGGUAGCCGGCCUGAGAGGGUGACCGGCCACACUGGGACUGAGACACGGCCCAGACUCCUACGGGAGGCAGCAGUGGGGAAUAUUGCACAAUGGGCGGAAGCCUGAUGCAGCAACGCCGCGUGAGGGAUGACGGCCUUCGGGUUGUAAACCUCUCUUAGCAGGGAAGAAGCGAAAGCGACGGUACCUGCAGAAAAAGCACCGGCUAACUACGUGCCAGCAGCCGCCGUAA
rnacentral:rRNA from 1 species